AGAGUCUAUGUGAAUGAAGCCGAGUAAGCUGCCUCCACUCUGAGGGCCUCUCAGCGAGCACGGAACUCACCAAGUUCAUUAUGCUAGCUGCCUGGUGAGCCCCGGAGAUCCACCUUCCCAGCACAAGAUCACGAACAUGUACCACCACAAUCUGUCUCCCCCCACAAAUUCUGGGGAUUAGACUCAGGUCCUCAGGUUUGUGCAGCAAGCACAUUUACCAACAGAGCCUCCUCUGCAACCCAUGUGCCGUGGAUGACUUGUUGACCAUGAUACUUCACAAAACUGCAAGAGUUCCUACCACAAGGCUGGCAUGAAUGUCGGGACCACUAGGCCUGCAGAAAGGCUUCAUGGCUAUGCAUCACAUCGGACUUUCUCAGCACAGCCAGGACAGGGACCCUGGUCCUGCUUUGCAGAACAGGAUGAAGACAUCAACCUGAUUCCCAUCCUAAGCCUUGAGCUUGGUCUGAGGCUACUGCAUUGGGUACCAAGUCUCAGGUUUGGCUGCCCAGAGCGAGAUUCUCAGCAGGUCGUGCAGGAAACUCAUCUCAGGAGGCUCUAGGUUCUACCCUCAAGUGCCUGGGAAGCACACCCAGAUGUACAACAACCUAGUUGGCUCUCCAGGCUGGCUUGUGAGAUCACAGGAAGACUUUAUAGAAUAGAGUGUGAAGGAUGUGUAUAGUGAGCCCCACAUCUGAGAAUCCAGAGCCUACGGGAUCAACAGGGGCCGUUCUGAAAAUGAGCAGAAAGAGGGAGACUGAGUUCAUGCCCUCACUGCUAUGGACGGAGUGGCAAGAGUCUGUAAGAUGCAAGCAUGGUCAUCAUUGCGAUGUCUGUGGACUCUGGACAGCCAUGUAGACCCAUCUAGAGAAGAGAGAAAAGAGAAGAGAACUACCGCCGGGCUGCUCAGGACUCCUGGAUCUUAUAGGUCAUUUUAGUACAUUAUUUCUGUAAAGUC